rnacentral:tRNA from 1 species
CUAUUAUUGGUUUAGAUUUUUAAAACAGUCUGUGGAACUGAAGAAAAGUCUAAUAAU